rnacentral:rRNA from 1 species
UACGUAGGCAGCAAGCGUUGUUCGGAGUUACUGGGCGUAAAGGGUGUGUAGGCGGUUGUUUAAGUUUGGUGUGAAAUCUCCCGGCUCAACUGGGAGGGUGCGCCGAAUACUGAGUGACUAGAGUGUGGGAGAGGUGAGUGGAAUUCCUGGUGUAGCGGUGAAAUGCGUAGAUAUCAGGAGGAACACCGGUGGUGUAAACGGCUUUCUGGACCAUAACUGACGCUGAGGCACGAAAGCGUGGGUAGCAAACAGG